rnacentral:tRNA from 1 species
UAAGACUUGUAUAUAAUACAUCCCCUGAAUGCAACUCAGGCACUUUACUUUAAGCUAAAGCCUC